GAUGAACGCUGGCGGCGUGCCUAAUACAUGCAAGUCGAGCGAACAGAUGAGGAGCUUGCUCCUCUGACGUUAGCGGCGGACGGGUGAGUAACACGUGGAUAACCUACCUAUAAGACUGAGAUAACUUCGGGAAACCGGAGCUAAUACCGGAUAAUAUAUUGAACCGCAUGGUUCAAUAGUGAAAGACGGUUUUGCUGUCACUUAUAGAUGGAUCCGCGCCGCAUUAGCUAGUUGGUAAGGUAACGGCUUACCAAGGCAACGAUGCGUAGCCGACCUGAGAGGGUGAUCGGCCACACUGGAACUGAGACACGGUCCAGACUCCUACGGGAGGCAGCAGUAGGGAAUCUUCCGCAACGGGCGAAAGCCUGACGGAGCAACGCCGCGUGAGUGAUGAAGGUCUUCGGAUCGUAAAACUCUGUUAUUAGGGAAGAACAAAUGUGUAAGUAACUAUGCACGUCUUGACGGUACCUAAUCAGAAAGCCACGGCUAACUACGUG
rnacentral:rRNA from 1 species